UACGUAGGGUCCGAGCGUUGUCCGGAAUUAUUGGGCGUAAAGAGCUCGUAGGCGGUCUGUCGCGUCGGCUGUGAAAACUCGGGGCUCAACCCCGAGCCUGCAGUCGAUACGGGCAGACUAGAGUGCUGUAGGGGAGACUGGAAUUCCUGGUGUAGCGGUGAAAUGCGCAGAUAUCAGGAGGAACACCGGUGGCGAAGGCGGGUCUCUGGGCAGUAACUGACGCUGAGGAGCGAAAGCGUGGGGAGCGAACAGG
rnacentral:rRNA from 1 species